UUUUAUAACCUAAACAUUUAUUUAUUUAAAUGUUAUACACGAUUUUUAUACGAGAAAUGGCAACAAUUACAUGCUGUAUGACAAUGAAAAUGCAAGAAAUAUUUAUAGUGAGAAGUUAAAAGAUAUGAAAAUGAAGUGAAGUGAAGUUAUCCUUCACUGGCAUUGAAAAUUAAUGAAUCUUGUCAAUGGUCUGGCUGGUGUUGACAGAAGAUAAAAGAGAGGAACAAUGAUUUUUAAUAAAUUGUAAACAUCAAAAAAUUCCAAAACUAUAUUGUGGUGUUGAAAUCCAGUAAAUUUUCUUGUAAAGCUUGGAGCAUUGCAAAUGUUUGGUGUUAAUGUAUGAGAGUACUUCACAUGUAAACAAUAUUGAUGAAGUUGUCUGCUUAUUUGGGGCCAAAUAAGGAGAGAAAUUUUCUUGGAAAAGAAUCAAAAGCAAUAAAGGAUAGCAUGACAGAAGAAUGCAGAAGGGUUGCUCAGCUAUUAACUUUGCCUUAUAAUCUUUAUUUUUUUC